rnacentral:rRNA from 1 species
GGAUAACCUACCCUUGGGACAGGGAUAACCCCGGGAAACUGGGGAUAAUACCUGAUAGACCAUGGAGGCUGGAAGGCGCCAUGGUUCAAAGGGGCAACCGCCCGCCCAAGGAUGGGUCUGCGGCCUAUCAGGUUGUAGUGGGUGUAACGCACCUACUAGCCUACGACGGGUACGGGCUGUGGGAGCAGGAGCCCGGAGAUGGAUUCUGAGACAUGAAUCCAGGCCCUACGGGGUGCAGCAGGCGCGAAAACUUUACAAUGCGGGAAACCGUGAUAAGGGAACCUCGAGUGCCGAUGCAUAGCAUCGGCUGUCCAGAUGCCUAAAAAGCAUCUGAUAGCAAGGGCCGGGCAAGACCGGUGCCAGCCGCCGCGGUAACACCGGCGGCUCGAGUGGUGGCCACUUUUAUUGGGUCUAAAGCGUCCGUAGCCGGCUUGGCAAGUCCCCUGGGAAAUCUGGCGGCUUAACCGUCAGGCGUCCAGAGGAUACUGCCAGGCUUGGGACCGGGAGAGGUGAGAGGUACCUCAGGGGUAGGGGUGAAAUCUUGUGAUCCCUGAGGGACCACCAGUGGCGAAGGCGUCUCACUAGAACGGGUCCGACGGUCAGGGACGAAAGCUGGGGGCACGAACCGGAUUAGAUACCCGGGUAGUCCCAGCCGUAAACGAUGCUCGCUAGGUGUCAGGCAUGGCAUGACUGUGCCUGGUGCCGAAGGGAAGCCGUGAAGCGAGCCACCUGGGAAGUACGGCCGCAAGGCUGAAACUUA